AAUGAACGCUGGCGGCAUGCCUAACACAUGCAAGUCGAACGAAGGCUUCGGCCAUAGUGGCGCACGGGUGCGUAACGCGUGGGAAUCUGCCCUUGGGUUCGGAAUAACAGGUAGAAAUGACUGCUAAUACCGGAAGAUGACGUAAGACCAAAGAUUUAUCGCCCAAGGAUGAGCCCGCGUAGGAUUAGCUAGUUGGUGGGGUAAAGGCCUACCAAGGCGACGAUCCUUAGCUGGUCAGAGAGGAUGAUCAGCCACACUGGGACUGAGACACGGCCCAGACUCCUACGGGAGGCAGCAGUGGGGAAUAUUGGACAAUGGGCGAAAGCCUGAUCCAGCAAUGCCGCGUGAGUGAUGAAGGCCUUAGGGUUGUAAAGCUCUUUUACCCGGGAUGAUAAUGACAGUACCGGGAGAAUAAGCUCCGGCUAACUUCGUG
rnacentral:rRNA from 1 species